CAUAUCUGUAUAUCACCAUGAACAUUUCUGUUCACAGAACCAAAAUGAAACUGACAGGCACUUAAAAUUAGAUCUUUGUUAAACUGUUAAAUCUCAUUGUGUGAAAUAAUAUCCUUGUUUAUACACAGCCGUUAAAGGUUUUCAGUGUGUCACUUCAGCUAACCUGCAGAUGGAAGGAAGUGGUUAGAUGAGGAUUACAGAAAAGCCUAAAGAAAAGGAGUACUUUUGGCACUUUAGAGACUAACAAAUUUAUUUGAGCAUAAGCUUUCGUGAGCUUUCGUGAGCUAACUAGUCUAACUAAUUCUCUGAUUGGAAAUCUCAUAAAAAGUUUCCUUUUCUUUGUCUCUAGCUGUUCUUCUGGUCAAUCAACUACUGACAUGGCUGACAACUUUUAGUGGCUGACAAAUAUCACACUUCUGAUGUACCGCCAUGAAAUAGCAAAUACAUACUCAAACCACAGAGAACAAGAAUAAAUCCUGUCCCAGCUUGUGCAGCAAGGAAAACUACAGAUUUAACUGCUGCCUGGUAGGAACCCACAAGGAGAACCAGACUACAAGACUGGAUUUGAUGCGUGAGAUCAUUGUCCUACAGAAUCAUCAGGAGAUGAAGAGUAUUGGAGGAAAGCUCUGGGAAAUGUCUGUCAUUCUGGAAUGAUUGCUGGCUCAGGUUUCCAUCUUGAGCUUUCAUCCAUCACACAUUUCAGAACAAUCUGUCCAGCUAUACACAGGAUACGAAAGAGAUAAAUGUAUAGUGAUAAUGAUGGCAAGACAGCUCUCUAGACGUCACUUUAAAAGCCGACAAAAAACAGCCACAAAAUAGAUAACCAGGCCCUCUCUUCGAAAGCUGAAAAGAACUUGUAAAUAACAUGUUCCUUUUUGUUGAUCUAACACUAAACUAAACAGAUUUAACAUCGUUAGCAGAAUCGAAUUCUUGUCAGAUACAGUUAAACAUUGUGCUAUAAUGUAAUAGCAGAUUUUCCUUCUUUUACUUCAUUUUUUCUUUUAUCAACAGCUGCUCUAAGUUCUAAUAUAGUGGGCCAAAUUUAAACCAAGUCUAAUAAUAAUAACUAGCUUCUGUAGCACUGGCAAUGCAAAAUGAAAACAAAUCUCAACCUAAAUGUUCUUCACUAAAUGGAAUUCUUAUUUUCUCUCCAAACCCAGUAAUUGGUCUGGGGAGAUUACUGUGUUACAGCUGAACAACUGCAGCUUCAUUGACUGUGAAGAAAAUACAUAAAUAAGUGCAUAAAUAACAUAUUUUAGAGUUUGAUUGGUAGAGCAAAAACCAGGCUGGUGCUGCAUGCUGCAAAGCCAGGGUGCAAAACAGGUAGAUCCCUGUAUGGAAGAAAUAAAGGAGACUUUUCAGCUACCAAAAAAUAAUCUUGUGCACAAAAUAAUUAAGUAUUUUGGGGCUUCCUAAAUCCCGUAAGACAGUGAAUAAACAUUUUGAUGCUUAUAUAGCAGUAAGCCGUAUUUAAAGAAAGAUAUGAGCUCAAGCUUUAGAAAUGUUUAUGGAACUAUCAAUGCAAUCUCCAUUAAAAACCCCUAGUUUUUAAAACACAGUACAAGCUUGAAAUAUAGUAGACCCAUGGACUAAACUACAGGAUUUUGUCGUGUCCCACAGCACCUGCCAUAUCAGUGUUCAGAUACUGUGGUGAUAUACAUGGAAUAAAUAUUAUUAUGAGAGAUGUCACUAAUUGGCAUUAUUACACCUAGUCUUACAGUUUCUUUUUCUUAGUGUGUGAGCAAGUUUUUAGGCUUAGGAGAAAUUUGUGGGGGUGUUUUUUGUUGUUUUUCUGAUGCAAAUUCUUUGGGGAGCUGUGACAGGCAUCAAAGGAGAUUGCUCUCUGCCUUGGUCUCUCUAACUAGAGUCAAUUCCUGGGGAAUAGUUGCUCCCUUGGAACAGGAUUUGGUGUUUGGGCUGGCAUCCCUGAAGAAGAGGAUUGCUGGCAUGCUAAAAAGGUUCAGGCUGAAACAGCUCAAAAUAAACUAGUACUUAACUCUAAAACAAAAAUCAUAAUCUACGUAGCAUAGCUGAUGGCACACUUGUAAAAAUACCUCACAUCCACACACAAAAAUGCUCAGACAAUUUAUUAUUGCUUAAGUGUGCUUAGCAAGUAAAUUUUUCUAGUGUAGAUCUAUUGAUGUCAGCACCUUUCAUGAAAAGAUUAAUAAAAUAUAGCCGCACAGCCACUGUGAAAUAGGUUUCAUUCUGGUGUUUGGGAGACUGAAAAGUAAAAAUGCAAAGGUUGUGCUAUUCACACAGUACACUCUUAUACUUAGGGCUAGUCUUCAUUGCGAAUUAGUGUCUGGCAAACCAGGGUGUCAGUCUACAGCACGGUAGUCUGGCACAUGUUAACUGGAUGUGUGGACCCUGGUACCACAUGCUAAAAAUUCUGUAGUACAUAUCAAUAUACUGAUCUUUGAAAUGAGACUACAUCAAAGAGAAGUAUGGAACUUCUAGUGUGCAGCAGCAGGGACCACAAUGUAGGUUAAUGUAUGGCUGGCUAAUGCAUUGUACAUUCACACCUGGCUUGCUGUGCAGUAAGUCACCAUGUCGAAAGCCCUCAGAACCAAAUUAGAUUCGCUCUAUGUCCCAACUAGUGUUCUAUUUUUGGAGCAGAUUCUGAUCUCACUUACACUAAUGGUAAUCAAGAGUAGCUCCACUGAAGUAAAUGGAAUUACGAUGAGAUAAAACUGGUGUACCAAAGAGGAGAAGACCCUUUGUGUUGGGUUUAGGAAAAUAAAUACUUAAGAGUGACUAAUUGUGUUUCAUCCUAAGUCCCAAGCAGGCUAAAAAGCAUUUCCCCCUCUUCAUUCUGUUAAUGGAAAUGGGUUAGGGAUCUUCCAGUGUGGCAAUGGAUUUGUUCAAGAGCUUAUGCUGAUUCUCCUGCCUUCUGUAUCCCUCCCCAUCUCAUUUAAAUCUAAGAUGAAAAACCCCUCUGACCUAUGCCAUCUUGUAUUUGUUGCCUUUAUCUCACCCAAUUAUUUUAUUUCUAAUUAUAUUAUUACAGUGUAUCAUUUUAUUAAACUUUCUGAAGCAUUAGGGGCUACAGUUCAUUCUGAAAGAUGCUAAACAAAAUAGUAUAAUGGAAUUUUAAACAUUCAGUACAAUAAUUUGUGAAUAGUAGAAACAGAUUAGUGAUAGGUUUACCAUCUCUUCAUUGUUACUAUUUUUUACUUGGUAACUACACAAAGUACAUGUGGUUAUGUGGAUAAGAAGGCAUGACUAUUUUUAUGUGGAUUUUUUUUAUCAAAAUAAAUCCAGCCCCCAGCUUUUCUUUUUUAUCUUGUCUAUUGUCUAAUAGACUUAGAUUUAUGUAGCCCAUUUAAUCUGCAAAGCUUCCAAAGUUCUUUAAAAUCUGAAAACAAAUCUAUUAACUAUCCUUAUUGGAAUUAUUUUUCCUACCAACAAAAAGCAGUUCCUUCUGCGGUGCAGGACAGCAACUGUUUAAUUGCUUGCAGUAACAUUAUAUCAUAGGACAGGGUGAAUUUAGAGGAGCAGAAUUCAAUUACCCAAAAUGGAAUUUGGGCAGGGAUUUAUCAUAAAUACUAUCUUAUUGUUACAACUCUUGGAAUCUUACUUGUCAAUGGUAUUUAAUUAUGAGGUAUAUAAACUAUUGAUAUCUUACUGUUUAUUAUUCUGGACCUUUGAGCUAUGAAACUGAGAUUAAAGGAAAAGAAGAGCUUUUUACAUCACUAAUCCCACAUAUCAAGCUUUCUUCCUAGCCAUAUUUUUGUUUUGUUCUCUUCCCAUUUUGGCUACCUCUCACUUUAUCAGUCAAUGUCUCAUAUUUUGGCUCUUGAUGGGUGGUGAAUUAUUCUUUGAUAGGAUUUUCUCCCAUACUGGGGAACAGUUGAAAACUCUGCAAACUAUUGAAAGGAAGCCAAGGAAGGGGUAAUGUCAGGCACUUGGUUUUCCAAUAAUCAUCAGUCUGAACAGUCAAAGCAGUUUUCUGAACUACAGAAAGAACAAAGGUCCUUGUGAAGGGCCCCAAGAUGAUGGAUGGGUUACCUGUAAGGAACUGACAGUGAGGCAAUCCCAAGCUGUCAUUGACAAGGAGCUGGAUGCACAGACAUGACAGGGCAAUAAUCAAGUAUUUGCUGUUUUGCAGCUGCUUAUUUUGCUGGUUUUAAAAACAAAUGGCUCAAAGUUUGAACAAAAGGAUCACAGAGAACAACCAGAAUAUUAUGUUUUUUCCAGCCCUGUGGACCAAACAUAUUCCUGGAUGGGGGUCAGAGGGCUGGAAAUAGGGUAUAAAUGGUACUGCAAGAACUUAGCAUAAUUUUAUAACAGCAUCUAUUAUUAUGGCUUAGAAACUUGAACGGAUACUUUAGAGCGGAGACCUUAAUAUAUCAUCUGAAACUGCUUCCGGAAUUAGAUUUACAUUGAAUUUUUGCUUCCUCUUAAUGCUUGGGCUUUGAAGACAGACUUAGGACACAUGAUAAAAAGGCAAUGCCAUAGGUAAAUCCUUCAACAGCAAUGAAUUUGGCACUGACUACACUGCAAGCCCUGCACCCCAGAAAUAGAAACCAACCCAGGGUGUGAUUUGUUGCUCACAAAAGGUCUCCAUGGUUACAAAGCAGGUGAAUGAGGCAAGGGUGUAUAGUGGGGGUACUGAGUCAUUGAACCAAACUCUAAACUCUGUAUAUGUGGAAACUGAUUCAAGCCAGGGGGUGUAGCAGCACCCUUAGUUCCAGCACCUAUAGAAUGAGGCGACAGAGAAAAUAUAUUUCUUCUAAGGCUCUGCAAAUAGGCUUUUUGGCUGCUUCCCUGAAGGUAAACGUAUAUUUUUAUGGCCAGCUGCUCCAGUGAUGUUCAUUGUUUCCUCACCACUGCUACACGGCUCCAGAUUUCAAACGCAAAGUGGCAGGCUCAUUGGGCCAAAUUGAUCUCAGGUAUAACUUGCACUUGAUGAGCAGCUUCCAAAUAUGAGAUCUUUCAUUAGCCAGUGGCUUGAUAAACUCACACCUUCAUAGGCUAUUGAAACUGGACAGCAGUUAAGCAUAUUGUAAUAAAGUUUGUUACUUGAGCUGGGUAUUUGCCAGUUUCCUAAUCUAGAAAGGCCUUGUGCAGUAAGAUGUAUUCUCCUUUCCUUUGCUAUGUUUCCUAUGGCUCUCAUGGUGCUAUUAUGUCACUGGGCAGAAAUUUUGCUAACAUUCAGGAAUGCUUUUCAUUUCAUUCUAGGAUCAGAUGGACAUAAUGACAACUCUGAAAUGAGUUCAUUUGCUCAAUCAACUAAGCAUUCAGUAAUGCUGCUCCUGGUAAAAACAGCUUGAAUUAUUUGCAAAAUAUACUCAGUUUGCAUUCACUAAAUAAUGUGAAGAUGGCAGGCCAUUUCCAGGCUCAUCAACCUUUAAAACAUGGGGCCACAUUCUGUUUGGGAAUUCAGUGGGAAUUGAACAGACCUAUCUAAGGGCAGAAUUUGGUCCAAACAAAUGGUUCACAAACCAGACUGUUCUUGAUCAUUAUUAAUGGAGUAAUGCCCAAAUCUUGCAGUCCUUUCUCAGUCCAUUGCAGGACAAACAAUUUCCAUUGACUUCAAAGGAGAUUUGGCCUUGAGUAAAGAAAGCAGGCAUGAGGGAAACACAUUAGUUCUAGCAUUGCUACUUUCCUUGGGUUGAGGAGGAUGGUGUUAAAUGCAAAAUUAGAAGAGAGGUGAAGAGGAAGCAAUGGCAUUUGUCAGUUUUCUCCUGUUUUUGCUUUCUAUCAAUUGUACUAAUAAAAAUAAAUGUUAAUAUAAUUGGCUCCUAUACCUGAAUUCAGCAAGGAUACAAGAAUGUAAAAGUUCCAUUUCUUUACCUGGGCAGCCCUUUUCCAAGAGCUCAGUUGUGAGCUACCUACAUUGUGCCCACAGUGAGAAAGUAAGAGAGCAGAAGGUAUCACCUUACAAGGGGAAGGGGAGUACAGCUGAGCCAGCAUGUUUGGGGAAGUAAGUUGUGCCAGAAAAAGGGCUGGUGCAGCUUACUUCCCCUGCAGAGCAAGUGGGAGGGAAGGCAAGGACCAAAGAGUCACAAUUCAGUACAUGGUGUGAACAUGAGGAAGCACAACUAGGUGCUGUCCCUACUCAGGGUGUCUUGUAAGGUGGUGGUGUUAUUGAUUAAUGUCACUGAGGUGCAAGUGUAUGAAAUCAGGACCUGCAGAUCUUCCUCUGUACACUGGAAAAUAUACACAGAGCAAGGACCUAAUGGGAAGCAGUUGUUUUAAGUUCAAGUGAACAGAAAGAAGCAAUUGUGUGUGUGUGUGUGUGUGUGUGUAGUGACACAGAACCUGACAUCUCUAUGCUGCAGGGAGUUGCAUUUCCAUCUUGGUGGCCCAUGUAGCUAGUCAGUGUAGGUGCUCUUUGUGGUAUUAAGAACUGUGCCUUUCAGCAGGGGUUGUGGGGGGCCCGGAGCAAAAUCUGAGCCUGAAGCUUCCCACCCUUCUGAAAAGCCUUAACCCCACCCCACCCCUGGCCCAUGGGCCUGUAAACCCACCUCCUCCCAGAGCCCUGGACUCCUCUCGCCUAUUCCUUCUAUUACCCCUCCCUGCUGGUGAGCUUCACUCUCCAGGGAGAGAGGUCCAUCCAGCUUCCUCGCUGGUCCCCAGUGCUGAGAGAAGUCUCCAUGGUUUCUGCAGCUGGCAAGUAAGGCCCCAGUAUGCUGCAUGCAAGCGCUGAUCUAGCUACUGUGGAGCUGCAACUCCACGCCCCAGCUUGUAAAGCUACUCACGCAAAUUUGGCCUAGUCACCCAGGCCAAACCUGAUGCUGUGCUGCGACCCUGAGUGCCAGGUCACAGGCCCAGCCAUCCACAUCACCCUUUGUCAUAUUGUUCCACUGGUUUGGGGGCCCUCUCAAAAUAGGAAUACUGGGGCAAAGAGCCCCUUUUGCCUCCUCCCUCCCCCCAAGGGCAGCCCUGCCUUUUAGUGGUCACCCUGAGUGAAGGACAACACUGUCCCAGAACCAUGGACCUCUGAAAUCUGGGUUCCCCAGCAGCCUGCAUGUCAAGAUGGUUGGUUUAUUUUUUUGUUUGAUUUUCUAAGCAGUUGCAUAGAGAAACAACGCAGAGAAAGAUGACAUUUUCCACUGUUCAGUAUCAUGGUUCCAUACUGAGGAAAGAAUAGGAAUAAAGGCAUGAGUUGUUAAAUUGAUUUAUGCAUCCUUGAAUUCCUAAUCUAAACCCCAUUCCUGCAAAGGGAUCCAUAUGGGCAUGAGAAUCCUUCCACACAGAUUCCUUUUCAGGAUCAGAGCCUGCUUUUAGCUUAGACAAUAUACUCAUGUACUGAGGUUCUGUGUCCUUCUGGUCAUUUAGCAUGUCUUGUGGGUAAAAACUGGUGUCAGGACGAGGUGUACCUUUCACUCAUGUAUUUUUGUUCCAAUUGUCUGAAUAUUAUAAACAAAGCCUCCUGCUGCUCUAUUCCUUGCCCUUCACAAACAUCCACUGACUUCAGUGGGAGCUGAAGAUCCAGAAUCCAACAAAUUACCUAAGCACACUGUAACAGAGUAGUCUGCCCCUUUAACAGUCAGGGUGCUGUGGAGUUGUCAGCUCUGUUCUGAAAAAUAGCUUGGCAGGUAGGUGUUGGGCCUCAUUAAACCCAGCUGGAUGGCAGGAAGAGCUUGGGUCUGAUGAUUCCUAGCUGGGGGAUACAAAUGAGGGCCUGGGAGUAGGCAGGAGCUGGGAGUAUAUUCUUCUGUGGCUGCAGUAGAGGAGUAUGAAGGGGAAAGAGGCUCUGUUGACCUCUUAGCCUGGUUAGUAGCUACAAUCUAGGUUGGGAAAAGGACAUUGCCCCCCCUUUUUUUUCUUUUCUGUUGGAGAAUAAACAGAGGCCUAAGGUAUUAUGGUACAAACAUCACUCACCUGCAAUAUCUGGGCACAAUGAACUUUCCAUCUGAUCUGAUCUUGAGAUCAGCUGUACCACAUGGCACCAGCAAAUGAGGUCAGACAGCCCAUCCAGCUCUGUCCAGCCUGAGAGAGACCAGGAAAGGAGGGGGACCAGACCAAACUGGAGGACAUUCCAGACCAGAAAAUGAGCCAGAGCACUGCCAUUGUGGCUGACUUGCCCACCCAGACCUGCUGCCCAGAAUAGCAAGAACAUUAACAAAAGGCGUAUUUUCUCCACCUUUACUGUCCUGUCUCUUCUAGCUCUCAUCUCUGUCGAAAGAAUGAUUACUUUUUCUUUCUUUCUUUCUUCACAUCUCGAAACCAAGCAACAAAACUAGGCUUUUCCUCCCUACUAAAAAGAGUUAUGCAACCCAAAAGGGGACUGUACCUGAUAUCCUGUCUUACAAAAGCACUUUGGUAGGUGUUUGGUUAAGUUUGUCUCGUAUAAUAAUUUAAUUUCAGACUGCUUUAUAACUUGACUUGACUCUUUUCUUCUGUAUUUUAGUUAAUACACUAAGUAGUUUAGGAAUGUAUCUUGCUAAAAAACAAGAUCUCUGUGUAUCAAACCCAAACUUUGUUCAAACUGUUUAAUGUUGGACAGUUUCAGGGUUAUGUUAACACCUUUGACUCUUUAGGCCCAUUUAUUCCAUCUAAAUUAAUACAACACCCUUUUCUUUAAGAAGAGUUGGGCUGAUUAUAAAAGCGUGUGACUCUCUAGUAUUUUUAAUAUUAGAAGAACUUUCAGGUACUGUAUUUGUGCUGAACAGUGAAGUUCUGACUUCACACUGGACCUUGCA